rnacentral:rRNA from 1 species
AUACAGAGGGUGCGAGCGUUAAUCGGAAUUACUGGGCGUAAAGCGCGCGUAGGCGGCUACUUAAGUCAGAUGUAAAAUCCCCGGGCUCAACCUGGGAACUGCAUCUGAUACUGGGUAGCUAGAGUUUAGGAGAGGGAAGUAGAAUUUCAGGUGUAGCGGUGAAAUGCAUAGAGAUCUGAAGGAAUACCAGUGGCGAAGGCGGCUUCCUGGCCAAAAACUGACGCUGAGGUGCGAAAGCGUGGGUAGCAAACGGGAUUAGAAACCCGGGUAGUCC